rnacentral:rRNA from 1 species
UACGGGGGGGGCAAGCGUUGUUCGGAAUUACUGGGCGUAAAGGGCUUGUAGGUGGCCAACUAAGUCAGACGUGAAAUCCCACGGCUUAACCGGGGAACUGCGUCUGAUACUGGAUGGCUUGAGUGUGGGAGAGGGAUGCGGAAUUCCAGGUGUAGCGGUGAAAUGCGUAGAUAUCGGGAGGAACACCAGUGGCGAAGGCGGCUUCCUGGCCUGUUCUUGACGCUGAGGCGCGAAAGCUAGGGGAGCAAACGGG